rnacentral:rRNA from 1 species
UGCCGGGGGAUAACUCGGAGGAAGGUGGGGAUGACGUCAAAUCAUCAUGCCCUUAUGAUUUGGGCUACACACGUGCUACAAUGGCGGAUACAAAGAGAAGCGAAGGGGCGACCUGGAGCAAACCUCAUAAAGUCCGUCCCAGUUCGGAUUGUAGUCUGCAACUCGACUACAUGAAGUUGGAAUCGCUAGUAAUCGCGAAUCAGAAUGUCGCGGUGAAUACGUUCUCGGGCCUU